AUUGAACGCUGGCGGCAGGCCUAACACAUGCAAGUCGAACGAGUGGCGGACGGGUGAGUAAUGUCUGGGAAACUGCAUGAUGGAGGGGGAUAACUACUGGAAACGGUAGCUAAUACCGCAUACCAUCGGAUGUGCCCAGAUGUGAUUAGCUAGUGGGUGGGGGAACGGCUCACCUAGGCGAAGAUCCCUAGCUGGUCUGAGAGGAUGAACAGCCACCCUGGAACUGAGACACGGUCCAGACUCCUACGGGAGGCAGCCGUGGGGAAUAUUGCACAAUGGGCGCAAGCCUGAUGCAGCCAUGCCGCGUGUAUGAAGAAGGCCUUCGGGCUGUAAAGUACUUUCAGCGGGGAGGCGUUACCCACAGACGAAGCACCGGCUAACUCCGUGCCAGCAGCCGCGGUAAUAC
rnacentral:rRNA from 1 species